rnacentral:rRNA from 1 species
UGGGGAAUAUUGGACAAUGGGCGAAAGCCUGAUCCAGCCAUGCCGCGUGUGUGAAGAAGGUCUUCGGAUUGUAAAGCACUUUAAGUUGGGAGGAAGGGCAGUAAGCUAAUACCUUGCUGUUUUGACGUUACCGACAGAAUAAGCACCGGCUAACUCUGUGCCAGCAGCCGCGGUAAUACAGAGGGUGCAAGCGUUAAUCGGAAUUACUGGGCGUAAAGCGCGCGUAGGUGGUUUGUUAAGUUGGAUGUGAAAGCCCCGGGCUCAACCUGGGAACUGCAUCCAAAACUGGCAAGCUAGAGUACGGUAGAGGGUGGUGGAAUUUCCUGUGUAGCGGUGAAAUGCGUAGAUAUAGGAAGGAACACCAGUGGCGAAGGCGACCACCUGGACUAAUACUGACACUGAGGUGCGAAAGCGUGGGGAGCAAACA